rnacentral:tRNA from 5 species
GCCCUCGUGGUCCAACGGAUACGACGCCGGCGUCCGAAGCCGGGAACGCAGGUUCGACUCCUGCCGAGGGCACGA